UAACCGACUGAGCCACCCAGGCACCCCUGUCUCUUAUUUAACAAAUAUUGGGAGAUGGAUUAUGGGCCAGGCACAUUCUAGGUGCUGGAGAAACAAUGGUGAACAAAACGGACAGUCCUUGCUCCCCUCAUGUCCCCACUCAAGGGGGAUGAGGAAGACCACAGACAGAUGUGCAACCAAGGACUUCCAACUAGUGAUAAGUCACGUGGAAGAAAUAAAACAGGGGUGUGUGAUAGUCUGUAAAAGAAAAGAACUGAAUAAAAAACAUCGUUCUUCCUUGAGGGACUUACCAGCCAGUCAGGAAAAAUAAAUACACAUCACAAAACUAUAGAGCAAAACACGGUGUGCACCAUUGAUGAAUGCUGUGGGAGGCCACACAGGGUCCUCAAAGUCUGGCAGACCUGGGUUCUGACUGCUGGUUGACUCCUUAUUGGCUGGGACUUUGGACGACCCCUUGACCUUUCUGAGCUCGGUUUCUUUAUCUGUAUAGCUGGGAACCUCCUGUGCAGAGGGUUUGGAAGGCUAGGAGAUGACAUUUGUAUGUGCACAUUGUGGUAUUGGGCACAGUGCUGAGGUGCUAGUGCCUGGUCCCUGGCCUUAUUGGAGUAUGCUACUUCUCAGGGUGAGGAAGAGGGCUUAUGUCUAUCUGUCUGGGAGGGUCGGAGGAGACUUUCUGGUGCAGGGCACACGGUAGUAGAGCUUGGAGAACCAUGAAGAAAUGGAGAGAUUUGUAGUGGGAGGACACAGCGGAGUUGUAGCGGGGAGGAAAUGGGGGUGUUGGAAGAGUUUACUUUGGGAUUUAUGACUUGCAAAGGUGGGGAUGGGAGGAGGGCGCAUGAAGGGUGGAGAAGACUAGGCGGGAAGGAGGACCGUGGCCAGGCCAUGGGAGGAUGCCGACAUGUGGGGGGCUACAACUUCCCCUGCCAGGCUGGGGAGCCCUGAGAGGCUGCUGGGCAAGACUAGCAUCAUGGAAAGUUGUGCAUUGGGAAUGCGGUUCAGGAAGGUCUGCCGGGCAGAAGAAUGAGGGGUGAUGACCUGAUAGGCCAGUUAGGAGACCACUCUGGGUCAUGGGGCCCGAACGCGGGAGGCGCUGGGGACAAGGGAGAGCGAGAUACGGUUGGAUGCAGGGGCCGCUGAGACUUCUGCAAUGACUGGAGGCAUCCAGUUUGGAUGGUAGCGACACGACUGACAACAUGGGAGUCGGAAGAAACAGCUGACGGCCCCGUGGUGGCAAGUAGGACAGACUGAAGUGGGCGAGGAUCGGGACAGGGCAACUCUUUUGCAGGAGGCUCUUUUCCCAGCCUCCGGGACUGAAGAACGGAGAGGUGGCACUAGGGGGUAGAGGGGCCUCAGGCCUGUGUCAAGGGAAAUGCCUCUCUCUGCGGUCAGGACAGCCGCUCCGUAGACCCACCCUGAACGUCCGCAGCAGGACACGAGGGCCACGUCUGUCCCUGUCCCCAGAGACUCCCAGAGACUGCACGGGCUUGGGCUCCCGUGAGGAGUCGAGAACUAGGAGCUCCGCCUUCAGAGAAUGAGUCCCUGGAGGAGAAACUCUGAUCCAGGGAGGCAGAGUUGUGACUGUUCCGCUUAGUGACAGGCCGGGAGCAGGCAGCCCUGCUGGGUCGGUGCCAGGCGGGCGUCUGGGUUGGCUGCACCCCGCGCACGUCCCAGGCGGGCGAGGCGCGGGCAGAGCCGUGGUGGGAAUCGGCCCUUCCGUCGGGCAGCCUGGCCGACAAACAGCCGUGGCCGUGAGCGUGUUGUAAAUGUGGAGUGAUUUCGCAUGAAUGCAGAAUUCAGGGCUGUCAGGUCCCGCAUCUCCAAGCAUCUCCAAGAAGACGGUGUUGCGGCUCUCAGCCCACAGGGACCUUUUCCUUUGCCGAUAUCGCACUCAACGCUGUUCAGUUUGCCAAAUGAUAGAUGACCUACCGCGCUCUUAAAAAUUUUCUUAAACCACAGGAUUUUAACAUCAAUUUGGAACCACCAUCCAUUAUGAAACAAAAAAGCAAAAAAAACCCCAAAAGUCUGUGUUUUCUGGCAAUCUUGGCAUUCAUGCAUUCAUUCACUCAUUCACUCAUUUUUUUUCAGCCAGAACUCAUUUACCAUUUGUGCGAGGUCUUGUGCCAGGAGCUGCAUGGAAUUAUCAUUAUUCUAUUGGUUUCAUCUAGAAGGGAUUUUUCAAGGGCUUCCACAGACCCUCACGGGUCAGAGAUGCUCAGAAAUUACAGGCAGACCUUUGUGUGUGGGCGGGGACGGGUUGGGGGAAGUGUGUGCAGUGGUACUGGGAGAAAAUCCCGCCCUUUUCAUGAGCUGCUCAGGGGGCCUGUGGACACAUUCUGGACCCUGAUUACCAAGCCUGGCUUCUGGCUGAAGUCUGCUUCAGUUUCUUUCCCACCCAGCGGCCCGAGACUGCUUGCCUAAUUGGGGUAUUGGUGCACCCCACGCUCACUGCCACAUUAUUCACAAUAGCCAAGAGAGGGAAGAAACCUAAGUGUCCACCAGUGGAUGAAUGGAUAAAGAAGGUGAUCACACGGCCCCUGGCUCAGAGGCACUUUUGUGAUUCUGAGUAGUUUGGAGGCAAACUGUUCAGUGUGCCCCAGGAAACCUGGACUUAAGUUUUGGCAAAGCCAUUGGAGAAGCCCAGUAACCUCUCUAGGCUGCAAGUUUUCCUCUUUUGUAAAACAGAAGAGCCGGCAUAGCUGUUGGAUGAUGAUGAUGAACAUUUACCGAGUUCUUACAAUGCUCUGGGGCCAAGCGCACUUAACAUUCAUAUUCUCCCUAUUUAACAGCUGGGGCAUCCACACCCCAAGAGAGGGCUCCAGCCAACACCUCUGGGAGGCGGCAGCUCUGGGUCCAAACCCAGGUGAAGCUGCUACUGUCACGGCUUUGGGAUCUGUUCUCUGUCUAGACACUACGACCCUUAUUAUUGUCAUCAUUAUUUGAAUUAGUCACGGUCUGCACCGCUUUGUUAAAAAUAUUUUGAACACUGCCCUUCGCUGUCUUUCUUUCUGCUUUCAGGGGCCAGAACACCCGAAUCCUGGGAAGAGUUUCAGCGCCCGUGGCUUCCCACGACACUGCUACCUUCCGGACAGCGAGAAAGGGAGAAAAGUGCUGAAGCUGCUGCUCGUGGCCUGGGAUCGGCGCCUCAUCUUUGCCAUUGGUACCUCCAGCACCACGGGCGAGUCAGAUACCGUCAUCUGGAACGAGGUCCAUCACAAGACAGAGUUCGGCUCUAAUCUCACAGGUCACGGCUACCCAGACGCCAAUUACCUGGAUAAUGUGCUGGCUGAACUGGCUGCCCAGGGCAUUUCGGAGGACAGCACUGCCCAGGAGAAGGAUUGAGCUGGGGGGGGAGGGGGGUCUUUGGGCCAGGAGGGGCUGUGGGGACCACAGGGCAGGAAGCGGGAGAAUCAAGGUGGAAGUCGGUGCCAUGCCCUCCCGACUCCCUCAUUUCCCCUUCUGUCCUAUCCCCAUCCCCCAUCCCCCCUGGCCACAGCGGGGAGUGAGAUUGAGUAAGGUGACGUCAUUCAUAAACCUCAUCCGCCACAAAGGGGACAAGGGAUGAGGGCCAUCCUCGGUCUGUUCCCAUGGAGUUUUCGGUGCUGGGUAGGCAAGAACCCCCCCACCCCCCUAAGUAGGGGGCACGGUCAGCACACUUAGGGUAUGGACAGUGCGUGGGUACUCCAUACCCUGGCCUUGUGAAGCCUGAGAUUCAGUACCUCAGCUGGCUUCUUGCUGCUUCCACUCUCCUUUGAGAGCGGAGUUUCUGCUUUUCUCUCCUCCUCUGGAGGCGAGGAGCUCUCACUGUGCAAGACUGGGGGGCAAAGGGGUGAACCGCUAAACUGCUGUGACAUCAGAAAUCAAUGCCUCUGUGUACAGCAAGGAAGCACUUCUCACCAAGAGGGUCAGGGAGGCAAAGGCUUCUGGGAGCACAUUUAGCUCUCAUAACAGUCAUUGGCUUCUCUGGGCCCUCCCUCCUCACAUUUUUGACCUGUCCAAAGAGGCAGCUGGUUCUCUUGUGUGGAUGGAUGGACUCUGGGAUUCCUCUCUGGGGUGGCAUCCCAUGAUGUUUCCAGCCCCUCUCUGAUCAGACCAGAGUCUGCAUCCCACUUAGCAUCUGAACUGUCCUCAGGGAGAGGAGCCCAAAGCCUUCUUCCCAACUCAUCCCAGACCAGCUCAAAGAUUCCAUGAGUUUCAUCAAGUCACUGUGAGUAGAGCCCACGGGGCUCUGUGCCAUCUGUUUGUGCAUAUAUAUGUGUGUGUGCCUGUAUGCACCACUGGGCCAGGUUGGUGGACAGUCCCAUCCUGUGUUCCCAUUCUGUUUUGCAAACUGUCAAACUCCAGUUCUGAUGGGGAUCAAACAAUCAAGCUGUGGUUCCUUAACUUUCCUCACCCUUUGCAACCCAUCCCAUAGUAAACUUGGACCCAGAUGGUAACAAUCAUGCAUCUUGCCAGAUGCCCCAAGGAACUGUGCUUGGUAAGAAGUGUAAGAUGAGGGCUGGACUGACCCCUUUUUAUAUCUCUUUCAAGAUUGGAUCUAACCAAUUCACCCAGUCUUGUUUCUAUGAGGGCUUUGAUCUGUCUCCAUGUACAUUUGCUAAUCAGAGCUCAGAGGUGGUGCUGGGCCCCUCAUCUGUUGCAGAUUGACCUAGAGCAUGGAGGGAGACUUUUUAGCUCAUUCCUAACAGGGUUGGGACCACAUCAUGGUCCAGUCCAACCUGCAUUUGGGUUGUGUCCCAAGACUCUAUCCCCUCUCCAGCAUUCCUCUUGCUUUUCGCUUCCCUUAAGGAAUAAAUUGGGGGUCAGGGAGGAGAGAAGGGGGAUCAAGAAGGGAAACCCAAUUCCCCCUUUGAAAGUGGGUUCUUUGAACUAUAUGUUUGAGGGAAGUUCCUCUGGAUACUAAUUUGAAUUUAUAUACCUCAUGUUUUGGGGGUUUGACGUAUAUAUAUCCAUAUAUAUUUCAUAAUAUUUGGAAGGUUUUUGAUGCUAGAAAAUUGAAACAAAAGAACCUUCAGAAAUGGUACUUAAGUUAGAACCUGAAGCCAGGCUUUCCUGCGAACUGGCUCUGUAGCUCCUUGCUGUUUGCCCAUAACCGUUUUGACGUCCGUGUGGCCAGUGGAUUCCCCUGAGUGUCACCCAGUUCCUUGGGACAUGCUGGUGCUGAGCCUUUCCUCAUUCUUCAAAUGGCUAUCAAGAUGCUAAUUGGCUCCAGCAGAGGGAGCUCUGAUAGGAGGAAUUGUUCCUGACACCUUAGGUCCAGUUUCUCCCGUCAGCCGGCCGCCAUCUUAUCUCACCAGCGGACCAGGACAUUGGACCUGAGUUCACUGCACCACAGGGCACAGUUUCCUGCCACAGUCGGGAGGAAACAUAUGAACUCAGUGGAAGGGACAUCACUGCGGUGUUUAAUAUCACACCCCGUGCCCUCUGCCAGGCUACCGUGUAACAGAGAUCAUUGAAGAGCCUCACUGUAGACUUAGUACCAUCUCCGCCUUCAGCAGGAGACCCGGGUCAAGUGUCUGCUGAGCUUCUCACCCACGGGGAUCAGGAAACAGAUUUGAGGGUCAGUGGGUAGAAACACACAGCUGUGGAGUAGGUGGGGAGAGGAAGAAAAUACACUCUGACAACUGGCAGUGGUCAGCGGGGAGAGGCUGGUUUCCCUGCAGCAGGCAGAAGAAGGGAUGGACGGGGAAGGGGACAGCUGAGCAAAGAAGGGAGAGGACUGCGAAUGGACCAGGCAGGGUGCCAGGGGCAAUACCACUUUGAGAGUGAGUCUUCAUACUUCAAGACUUCCCUGUCUAGGAUGCUGACUAUGUCUGUGCCCCGGUUCUCUUCCUCUCUGAAGAUGCUCCACAGGCGUGACCUCAUCCUUAUGCUGUUCUUCUGGGGGGCUUUCUAGGCAGAAGGGAUCUUGAAUCUCCUUUCUAACACUGUGCCAGGCAAGGCGGGGGCGUCCCUUUGCCCUUUCCCUGUGCCAGCCUGGAAAGGCACAGUCUCGGGCUCAGUGAGAACCCUGCAAGCAGGGGUCCUGAGCACCCGCCCCUCCAACAUAGGAUGUUUUCCCACCACUGCUGUUCCCGCUGUGUCUCCUGGCCUGCGAGGGGAAUCCCAUGCCUUUCCUUUCAUGCACCAGCAGCCUACUUUCUCCCUUCCUGAGUCUCCAGGGAUGACAAAUGGGAUUGAGGACAAACUCUGUCAGAUGUGCAUCCCUUAAAGGUUACUUGUGUAUAUGUGGUUGUGCGUGCCUUUGUGUUUCAUACCCUUUCCUCUACCUUUUUUGUAAAACUUGGACUUCUCUGUGGUUUUACACUUGGUCAAAAGUACUCGUCCUGUUAUUGCACUGUUGUGUGCAUGAGAGGGUAGGGGGCAGGCCGCAUGUAGUACAAGAAAGGGCCCUGUCCCCUUUUCUUGUCUGUGGUCACUGGCAAUUGAGUGGGGGUUUUCUGGGAGAGGGAAGGCGAAUGUCCUAAUGUAAAUCUUUGUAACUGGUGUGUUUUGAAGUCCUUGGUGUUGCUCUGUGAGAGGACAUCGCCACCUGGUGCUCAUGAGGUGUAUGUGCAGAACAAUAAAUGGCAAGUGAACAACCACAAA